GCUGGGCACAGUGGUGCAUGCCUGUAGUACCAGCUAUUUGGGAGGCUGAGGUGGGAGGAUCGCUUGAGCCCAGGAAUUCUGGGCUGUAAUGUGCUAUGCUGAUCGGGUGUCUGCACUAAGUUCGGCAUCAAUAUGGUGACCUCCCAGGAGCGGGGGACCACCAGAUUGCCUAAGGAGGCGUGAACCGGCCCAGGUCGGAAAUGGAGCAGGUCAAAACUCCUGUGCUGAUCAGCAGUGGGAUCGUGCCUGUGAAUAGCCACUGCACUCCAGCCUGGGCAACACAGCGAGACCCUGUCUCU
rnacentral:SRP_RNA from 1 species